GGUUAAGUGAAUAAGGGCGCACGGUGGAUGCCUUGGCACUAGGAGCCGAUGAAGGACGGGACUAACACCGAUAUGCUUUGGGGAGCUGUAAGUAAGCUAUGAUCCAGAGAUUUCCGAAUGGGGGAACCCAGCAUCUUUUAUAGGAUGUUACACAGUUGUGAAUACAUAGCAGCUGUGAGGUAGACGCAGAGAACUGAAACAUCUAAGUACCUGCAGGAAGAGAAAGAAAAUUCGAUUCCCUGAGUAGCGGCGAGCGAAACGGGAAAAGCCCAAACCAACAAGCUUGCUUGUUGGGGUUGUAGGACUCCGAUAUGGUAGUUGAAACAGAUAGUCGAAAUACUUGGAAAAGUAUGUCAAAGAGGGUAAAAACCCCGUAGAUGAAAUCUGGCUCACACCUAGGAGGAUCCUGAGUACGGCGGAACACGAGGAAUUCCGUCGGAAUCCGGGAGGACCAUCUCCCAAGGCUAAAUACUCCCUAGUGACCGAUAGUGAACCAGUACCGUGAGGGAAAGGUGAAAAGCACCCCGGAAGGGGAGUGAAAUAGAUCCUGAAACCGUGUGCCUACAACAAGUUAGAGCCCGUUAAUGGGUGAUAGCGUGCCUUUUGUAGAAUGAACCGGCGAGUUACGAUAGCAUGCGAGGUUAAGUUGAAGAGACGGAGCCGCAGCGAAAGCGAGUCUGAAUAGGGCGAAUGAGUAUGUUGUCGUAGACCCGAAACCAUGUGAUCUACCCAUGUCCAGGUUGAAGGUGCGGUAAAACGCACUGGAGGACCGAACCCACGUACGUUGAAAAGUGCGGGGAUGAGGUGUGGGUAGCGGAGAAAUUCCAA
rnacentral:rRNA from 1 species